UACGUAGGUGGCAAGCGUUGUCCGGAAUUAUUGGGCGUAAAGCGCGCGCAGGCGGUCCUUUAAGUCUGAGGUGAAAGCCCACGGCUCAACCGUGGAAGGUCAUUGGAAACUGGGGGACUUGAGUACAGAAGAGGAAAGCGGAAUUCCACGUGUAGCGGUGAAAUGCGUAGAGAUGUGGAGGAACACCAGUGGCGAAGGCGGCUUUCUGGUCUGUAACUGACGCUGAGGCGCGAAAGCGUGGGGAGCAAACAGG
rnacentral:rRNA from 1 species